rnacentral:rRNA from 1 species
UACGUAGGGUGCAAGCGUUGUCCGGAAUUAUUGGGCGUAAAGAGCUCGUAGGCGGUCUGUUGCGUCGGCUGUGAAAACCCGGGGCUCAACUCCGGGCCUGCAGCCGAUACGGGCAGACUAGAGUUCGGCAGGGGAGACUGGAAUUCCUGGUGUAGCGGUGAAAUGCGCAGAUAUCAGGAGGAACACCGGUGGCGAAGGCGGGUCUCUGGGCCGAUACUGACGCUGAGGCACGAAAGCGUGGGGAGCAAACAGG